rnacentral:rRNA from 1 species
GACGAACGCUGGCGGCGUGCUUAACACAUGCAAGUCGAACGGAAAGGCCCUGCUUUUGUGGGGUGCUCGAGUGGCGAACGGGUGAGUAACACGUGAGUAACCUGCCCUUGACUUUGGGAUAACUUCAGGAAACUGGGGCUAAUACCGGAUAGGAGCUCCUGCUGCAUGGUGGGGGUUGGAAAGUUUCGGCGGUUGGGGAUGGACUCGCGGCUUAUCAGCUUGUUGGUGGGGUAGUGGCUUACCAAGGCUUUGACGGGUCGCCGGCCUGAGAGGGUGACCGGCCACAUUGGGACUGAGAUACGGCCCAGUCUCCUACGGUGGGCAGCAGUGGGGAAUAUUGCACAAUGGGCGGAAGCCUGAUGCAGCAACGCCGCGUUCGUGAUGACGGCCUUCGGGUUGUAAACCGCUUUCGCCUGUGACGAAGCGUGAGUGACGGUAAUGGGUAAAUAAGCACCGGCUAACUACGUG